UACGGAGGGAGCUAGCGUUGUCCGGAUUUACUGGGCGUAAAGAGCGCGCAGGCGGUCGUUCAAGUCGAGUGUGAAAGCCCCCGGCUCAACUGGGGAGGGUCACUCGAUACUGAUCGACUUGAAGGCAGGAGAGGGAAGCGGAAUUCCCGGUGUAGUGGUGAAAUGCGUAGAUAUCGGGAGGAACACCAGUGGCGAAGGCGGCUUCCUGGCCUGUUCUUGACGCUGAGGCGCGAAAGCUAGGGGAGCAAACGGG
rnacentral:rRNA from 1 species